GACGAACGCUGGCGGCGUGCUUAACACAUGCAAGUCGAGCGGUAAGGCCCUUUCGGGGGUACGACGAGCGGCGAACGGGUGAGUAACACGUGGGUGACCUGCCCUCAGCUCUGGGAUAAGCCUGGGAAACCGGGUACUAAUACCGGAUAUGACUCCAUGACGCAUGUUGUGGGGUGGAAAGCCUUGUGCGGCUGAGGAUGGGCCCGCGGCCUAUCAGCUUGUUGGUGGGGUGAUGGCCUACCAAGGCGACGACGGGUAGCCGGCCUGAGAGGGCGACCGGCCACACUGGGACUGGAGACG
rnacentral:rRNA from 1 species